rnacentral:rRNA from 1 species
CACGUAGGGCGCAAGCGUUGUCCGGAAUCAUUGGGCGUAAAGCGCGCGUAGGCGGCCCGGUCAGUCCGUUGUGAAAGUCAAAGGCUCAACCUUUGAACGCCGAUGGAUACUGCCGGGCUAGAGUCCGGAAGAGGCGAGUGGAAUUCCUGGUGUAGCGGUGGAAUGCGCAGAUGUCAGGAGGAACACCAAUAGCGAAGGCAGCUCGCUGGGACGGUACUGACGCUGAGGCGCGAAAGCGUGGGGAGCGAACAGG